rnacentral:rRNA from 1 species
AUUGAACGCUGGCGGCAGGCCUAACCCAUGCAAGUCGAACGAGUGGCGGACGGGUGAGUAAUGUCUGGGAAACUGCCCGAUGGUGGGGGAUAACUACUGGAAACGGUAGCUAAUACCGCAUACCAUCGGAUGUGCCCAGAUGGGAUUCGCUAGUAGGUGGGGUAAUGGCUCACCUAGGCGACGAUCCCUAGCUGGUCUGAGAGGAUGACCAGCGACACGGGAACUGAGACACGGGGCAGAGGACUACGGGAGGCAGCAGUGGGGAAUAGUGCACAAUGGGCGAAAGCAUGAUGCAGCCAUGCCGCGUGUAUGAAGAAGGGGUUCGGGUUGUAAAGUACUUUCAGCGGGGAGGCGUUACGCGCAGAAGAAGCACCGGCUAACGCCGUGCCAGCAGCCGCGGUAAUUC